UGGGGAAUAUUGCACAAUGGGCGCAAGCCUGAUGCAGCCAUGCCGCGUGUAUGAAGAAGGCCUUCGGGUUGUAAAGUACUUUCAGCGGGGAGGAAGGCGAUAAGGUUAAUAACCUUGUCGAUUGACGUUACCCGCAGAAGAAGCACCGGCUAACUCCGUGCCAGCAGCCGCGGUAAUACGGAGGGUGCAAGCGUUAAUCGGAAUUACUGGGCGUAAAGCGCACGCAGGCGGUCUGUCAAGUCGGAUGUGAAAUCCCCGGGCUCAACCUGGGAACUGCAUUCGAAACUGGCAGGCUAGAGUCUUGUAGAGGGGGGUAGAAUUCCAGGUGUAGCGGUGAAAUGCGUAGAGAUCUGGAGGAAUACCGGUGGCGAACGCGGCCCCCUGGACAAAGACUGACGCUCAGGUGCGAAAGCGUGGGGAGCAAACA
rnacentral:rRNA from 1 species